CGGGUGGGGGCCGGCGGGGGCGGCGCAGGGUCUCCCCUGCGAGGCCAGGCGGAGGUUCGCGGCUCCAGGUGCCCGCUCUGCUCCUCCCAGAAGCUGGACUCACGGGAAACGCAGGCCCGGCCGCCCCGCGAGCCCUCUAUUUACAGCCAGGAAUGUCAACCAUGUGAGAGAAGAAACUGUCUGUUCGCUGUGGAUCCCUGCUCUGAGAACGGGGUCAGCCACAGGAUGGGUGAACUGAGACCCAGGAGGACAAAGUGCCUGCUCCACACCCCAAGCCAGGGGCCCUGCUCUGUGCGGGGGGAUCCGCCUGCGUGGUUGUGGGGGCCACUUGUGGCUGUCGGGCGUCAUCUAUCCCUGACACAUGGCCAAGGAAGAUAGGGACAAAAGGCACAAAUAUGCCAAAAGACAAAAGACUAAAAGCCACAUGGUUCAGAGGAGACAGAGCUGGAGGCUGGGUGCCCAGUGGCCUGGAAAGCUCCCAGAGGACGAGGGGUCUGAAUGGCUUGAGGAGCCGGUGGACCCAAACUUUGAGGGUCAACUCAUGGGAGGGCCUUAGGCAGGAACAGGCUGAGGCAAAUUCCUCAAGAAGGUAAUUCAGGGACAGAAGCAUCCGCUGGCUGCCUGUCACAGCCAGGGGCCUUUCACACAGAAAUCAGAUCAUGUGUUCGCUGCCUGGAACCUUAGCUGCUUCUGUACUGAGGCAGCUCAACAGACGACCACAAACCGGGUGGCUUCAGACAGGGGUGAUUUGUCUCUCAAGUUCAGGAAACCGGAAGUCUGAAAUGGGGGGCAGGGUCGGUCCCUCCUGGGGCUCCGAGGCAGCAUCUGUUCCAGGCCCCCUCCAGCUUCUGGUGGGGACCGGCCUCCUUGGGGUCCCUUGGCUUGUAGAUGCAUCGCUCCCAUCUCUGCCUCACGGUCACACGACCUUCUCCAUUUGUGUCUUCACACGGCUUCAGACAAGGACGCUAGUCAUUGUAUUUAGCGUCACCCGAACCCAGUACGACCUCAUCUUAACUAAUCACAUCUGCAAAGACCCUCUUUCCAAAGAAAGUCACAUUCUGAGGUUCCGGGAGGGGCAACGCUAUUCAACCCAGUGCAGCUUCCCAUUCUCCCGGAUUGAAAGCUGAGCCCUCUCCAGGCCUGUGGGGCAGAGCAGCCUGGUGCUUGAGACCAGGAGGCUGGAGCUGGGCUGCCCGGGUGAGCACCCAGCUCGGUCGUCACCCCCGUGUGCCUGAUGGUGGGUCAUGGCUCCCUGUUCUUUAUUCCCCUUUUGCCACGUGAUGUCAUGGGGCCUCCCAACGAUGUGGGAUGGCCAGGUGACCUGCUCUGCUCAAUGGGGCACUCGUGGGCUUGACCACGCAGAGGCCCUAAGUGCACUUGUGGGAUCUGGCUUGGUUCUUGGCUUCUGGAAGGUCCUGCCCCGAGGAGCUGCCCUCCUAGGGCUGAUGAGAGCUUCGCAGGGCUGACCUGAGGCCGAUCCCCAGCCUGCGGCCAAGCCCGGCAGCCCGGUGACCCUCCACAGAGUCACCCCAUCGAGCCCAACUCAGAUCAGCUGAACCCAGACAACCUGCCCUCCGCGAGCUGGGAAGUAAGUCACUGCGUUUGGAUGGUUCGUUACAGAUCAACACUGGGACAGUGGCCGAGGAAAACAGAAAAACGCCGCUGGGCACUCAACCCCCCUCUCGGUUUCCCCAUCUGUAAAAUGGGGCUGAUAACAGUACUGGCCUCCUCAGUUGUUGUGAGGGUGAAGUGAGAUAAUAAAGGUAAAGUGGCACGUGGUGAGUAUCAGUGAGCUUCAGCGCCAUGCUAUCACCAGGCCCAGCACGACCCUGUCAUCUCACGUCCCCUCCAUCACUUGGUUGAAGGCAAAGGCCUCCUCCUCCUGUUUCUGGAAAACUCUCUGCCUUUGUGAUCUUCCCGAUCUCCACGAGGGUGGGUCUCCUUGUCCUCUGAGCUCAGCUCCGAUGGCCCAUUCGCAGAAGCGCCCUCCCGAGAGCUCGGCUGCCCCUGAGGCCGCUGCCCGUCUGCUUGUUAGCGUCUGUCCACAGCCAGAGGGCAGGAGCUCCUUCUCUUUUGUCCUCUAGAGCGUCCCAGGACUUGAACCAGCCGACACAUACUAGGUGCUCAAUUAAUACUGUGAACCUAUUCUCAAGGGCAGACCAAGCCUUCUCUUUACGUGUGUGUCCCCAGCAAAUCGCAUCCAACACCUUCCUUGCUCCAUGUCUCUUCCAGGGGCGGAGGCAAGAGCAGAUGAGGUCCCUGCCCCACGGAGCUCCCACGUUGGCAGGAGAGAGACAGGAAUGUGAAAUCGAGCGGGGCCGCACGUGGCCGGUGGUGAAGGUUGCCAAGAGGGAAGCACAGCAGGAUAGGGAGGCGGGGACAGGAGUGGUGCGGGCUCAACAGGCUGUUCAGGGAGGGACUCACUGAGACAGUGACAUGGGGCAAGGGGCCUGAAGAAAUGAGCAGGGGGCACGAGUGUUCUGCAGGGAGCGUUCAAGGCAGAGGGCACAGCCGGUACAAGGCCCGUGUGUGCGAGGAGCAGUGGGGGCCAGAGUGGCUGCAGGGAGGUGGACGAGGGAACUGUGGGGGCCGAGGUCAGAGAGGUGACAGGACGGGAUCCGUGUACGACCUUGAGGGCCAGUGAAAGGACGCUGGCAUUCCCUGUGCGUGUCAGAGCCCUUGGAUGGGUCUGAGCACAGGAGUGACGUGCUCUGAGUUCAUUUUAGGUGACCCCUCAGGCUGUGUGCGGGGCCAGACUGUGGGGCAGAGGGCAGAAGCAGCCGGACCUGCGAGGAGGCCGCCAGGGCGGGGGCAGGAAGGUGCAGGCCGGGGUCACCAGUGCCAGCUCUGGGAUUUGCACCUGAGGGUCGGCUGACGGGAUCUGCUGAUGGAUGGGGCGGAGGCGGUAAGAGGGAAACAGACCGUCAAGGAGGACGCCAAGGGCUUUGGGCUGAGCGGCUGGAAGGACUGCCGUGCUCCUGAGUCAGGUGUGGGAGGUCUCAGGAGGAGCAGGCGGGAGCAGGGAGCGGCUGAGAGGCAGAGAGACCUUCCAGAAAGGUCUGGGGUCCUGAGCCAACUUGGCCCCCCCUCAAGAGCUUCCUUCAUCUGAGCUGCAAGGACGACCACCUGUGUUGUCCCCGAGCGGGUGACGCCAGCCAGGCUCUGCACUUGUGUCUCCCUCCGAGAGACAAAGGUCAAUGUCACAGCAGUCUGCUCUGAUGCUGGCUUCAAGCCAAGGCCCUUAAUAUUCAAUGAGAAAUCUGCAUUGAUGAAAUUUUCAUUAAAGAAACAUUAUCCGUUUCCCUUGCCUUGUUAUUCUGUGGCUGUGGGUAUCAGGCUAAUUUGGGUUUGAUUACCCCGAUGAUCUGAAGAUUGGAGCAUUAUUAAAAAUUUAGAUGAGCAAUGAUAGGUCUGCGCCUCCCUCUCCUCUCUCAGCCGGAGCACAGGGGCUCUGCUAACGAUCACAACGAAUUCGGGGCAGACAUGGCAAUUAGAGGAGUAUCGAUAGUUCGAGGGGGCUUCAACCCCUCUGCCUCCAACGGAAAUCGGCUGGGUGGCUUCCAGGGCACUCAGAUUUAAUUGAUAAAAUGCAGCAAAAGAGAAUUCCAGUCCUAGACCCAGUUGCAGUCUAAUGAGCUGUAUGCGUGCCUGAGCGGGUCCCCUCCCCUUCCUGUGCCUGAAACGUGCCCCACGUGUGGAGGAAGGAGCCUGCACCAGGCAGAUGCCUAGAAACGGUGCCCGUGGGCUGCGGUCAGCUGCAGAGGGAAUCUGUUGGCCAGCUGUUUUUUUAUCUGUUUAAUGAGCACCUUCCUAGACUUAUGAUCUCGGGCUCUGUGUUUCCUGUCUAUUAAUUGUCUGAUUCUCCCAACCACCAUGAGAGACAGAUGCUCUCAUCAUUCCCACCUCACGGAUGGGGAAACUCUGACCAAGAGGGCUGACGUGGUUUACUCUGGGUCACCUGCCAGGCAGGAGCAAGGGUACGAGUUGAACUCAGUGGUUUGUCCUCCAAACCCUGCUUUAACACCUGUGCUACAAUUCCUCAGUGUUUCAGAAGUAAUUAGGUAUCAAAUUUAAAACAUUUGUAGUUUUCUAUAGAAACAGAACUUACAUAUUAAGAAGUUGGCAGCUCUGGUUCUGUAAAGGUGUCUGUCUCUGGAAUGUCACUAUUUUGUACUUCAUGAGACACUAAUUACUAACAUCAUUUACCAUUUGUCUGUCAGGAGAGAUGGCAGCUUUCAAAACGGGAGCCCAAUCUUUCAACAAGCCCAAGAGAAAAACUGGCAAUGUGCAGGGGGGAAAACCUAUUUGAAAGCAUCAGAGAGCGACUUAGGCUGCCAGGACCUGAGGGACCAGCAUCUCAUACCGAGGGACAUGCACUGAGGGGAGCCCUACAUCCUCCACCUCCUUCCUCUUUGAGGAUUUCCCAAUUCGUAAGUCGGGGGUGAGUGCCGACAGAAACCGAGAACCUUUCAGCAAGCUCAUGAAUCUGGGGACAAAACACUUGAAGUUGGAGGCCCCAAGGCAGCCAGGGUUUGAGGGCCCGAGAUCUCAGAGAAGAUAGGACCCCCUAGAAGAGGCUCUGAUUUGCUGCAGUGUUUUCGCUUUUGAAGCAUUUGCUGAUUCCUAAGCUGUACAGACAUGAGGCUCAGAGGACAAGCAGAAAUUGAGCAGGUGAGAGGCCGAGAAAGUGAGCAACGUCUGCACCAAUAUCAUGACGCCCUAACAGCCGAACUUGGAGUUCGGUUGUCACCCAACAGGUGGAGCCACGGAAAAUGAACGCUGGUUUCCAUUGAGUCCUCCAACAGACUUGUUCUAGGAAGUAAGGACAAACCAAAUAAACCAGAUCUCAUAAAAAUGGAAAAUCAGUCUUGAAUCAUUACAAUCAUGGUAACCUGUCCUUACUCUAGUGGCUGUCAG
rnacentral:lncRNA from 1 species